AAUGGAAUUCUUUGCCACAUGCAAUUUCUUUCUGAUAGCUGCCACAUCUACACGAUUUUGUGACUACCUCUAAACAUUGCCCGCAACGAUCUGUAUGACAUCUCAUAUUACAAUAAUGCGAACCACAAUUUAAUAAUUUUCCACAUGUAUCUCCACAUGUGGGUAGCUGUUCUUGUUUGCAAGAAAUGGCAUAACGUUUUUUCCCACAAGGACAGGUUCUAUUCUUCUCCAAUGGACAGGGUCCACAGUCGCCAAUUAAAUGACAUUUACUUUGACAUAUGUGAACAUUACAAGAAAGAGUGGCAUUCUAGUAAUAAUAUUUCUGGACAAGGAGGACAUUCCCCUGAGUGACACACUUCUUUGCAAGUGUGUGGACAUAACUUAUACUCUUUGUUACAUUCAGUACCACAACUCCAUUCUUUGGCAUUGCAUCGUCGUUGUUGAGGCAUUUGUUUGCCACAGUAGCAUUUAAUAGAUACUGUCUUUGCACAAGGAGGACAUGGUCCAGGAUGGCAAAGCAAAACACAUUUGUGACCACAUUCUGGUUGCAGCAGUUUGUCGCAUGUUUCUCCACAGGAAUGUGGAAUAUUCCAUGGACUAUAUGGGGGAUCUAUGGUUUUUUUACAAAAGCAUUUAUAAUUACGAGGAAUGUCAUCUUGAUUAUAUUCCAUACGACAUUUUGGACUAGAAUAAUAUUCAUAUAUAAUAUUUAAAUGAAUGUAUUAUCAAUAUACAUAUCUGC
rnacentral:misc_RNA from 1 species